ACAAAAAUCCUCGGAGAGCCGCAACCACAACGAUGCUUCUUUCACCCUAAUCGAUUGUUCUUCAUGGAGAAAUAACAUAAUCAAACACUACUCGCGAUUGUUCUUCAUUGACACCUCUCUCACCUCUUCAUGCGAGAUAUUUAACCAUGAAGUUGUGCCUUUCUCCCUCGCAGAGACUUCAUCCAUUCCUUUUUCGGGUACAACAACUAAUAAUGGUGAACAAUCUUUCACAGUUGUUCUAAAGUCAAAUUAUUUGGCAGUGGAAGGAGGAAUAUAUAUUUGGUGUUAGUUUUGGGAGCUACUAGGUGCUGAUGACAACUACUACAAUGUUCAAAGAUGGAUGAGUGUUUGGUGUGAGGCAAUGGCAAAGCUUUUGGUA